UACAGAGGUCUCAAGCGUCGUUCGGAUUCAUUGGGCGUAAAGGGUGCGUAGGCGGCGCGGUAAGUCGGGUGUGAAAUCUUGGAGCUUAACUCCGAAACUGCAUUCGAUACUGCCGUGCUUGAGGACUGGAGAGGAGACUGGAAUUUACGGUGUAGCGGUGAAAUGCGUAGAUAUCGUAAGGAAGACCAGUGGCGAAGGCGGGUCUCUGGACAGUUCCUGACACUGAGGCACGAAGGCCAGGGGAGCAAACGGG
rnacentral:rRNA from 1 species